UACGAAGGGGGCUAGCGUUGCUCGGAUUGACUGGGCGUAAAGGGCGCGUAGGCGGUUCGUACAGUCAGACGUGAAAUUCCUGGGCUCAACCUGGGGGCUGCGUUUGAUACGUGCGGACUUGAGUGCGGAAGAGGGUCGUGGAAUUCCCAGUGUAGAGGUGAAAUUCGUAGAUAUUGGGAAGAACACCGGUGGCGAAGGCGGCUCACUGGCUCGUAACUGACGCUCAGGCGCGACAGCGUGGGGAUCAAACAGG
rnacentral:rRNA from 1 species